CCUCCCCUUCCCGGGUAUUUCGAACGAAGCCGCAGUUCGGCGCGACUAAGCAGAGCCGGCCCGCCUCCCAGGUGUAAAAUGCAGAAUGACUUAUAGGUGGCAGAGCUGAACCUGUUACGUGCAGUGAUUUAUUUUAAUAGCGCCGUGUAAAGCAACAAGUUGUAAUAUGACAGCUCAACAACCUGUUGGAAAAUAAUACAUGGCUGUGCAGUUGUGAAUUCCUAAUGAUUUAUGUAGCCUGACAAAAUAGUUUCAGUCCUGGUCUCUCUCUUUCCUUCUGUCAUAAGCACAACCGUGCAGGGGUAGAAUGGGAACAGGUGACAAGGAGUGAAGGCGAGACCUGCUGAAAGUAAUUUGACAGAUACAUGCAAUUGUGAAGAAUCAUUAAAUAACUGUUAACCACACCUGCACAGAGCCUCUGGCAAUGCUGGCUUACACAGAAUCUCAAGAACUGCCAUGUGCCUGACAUCAUACCUUUGCAAGGAAGAAAAGUCCUGGGUGUUAGCCCAAGACUGUGAAAAUCUCUAGCAACUGUGAAGAUUAUGAAAGAGAAAGAGAGCACGACUCAUACACAAAGGGAUUCAAAGAUUUGCAGACUUCAGUAUUCAUAUCUGAGAAGUGUGAGCUCUGGCACCUGACACUGAUGGAUCAGGCAAUGGAGAUAUUUACUCGUCACUUAGAAAGAGUCCUUAUUCAUAGCUUGGUGUAUUUAUGCCAUAAGGGUUUGGAAGACAGUGCAUUUUUACCUUCUCCAUCUCCAUUGCCAAGAAACUCAACAAGGCCCAACACAGAUUAAAGACUUUUUAAAAGAGUUGCCAAAGUGUUGUGAGAAAA